rnacentral:rRNA from 1 species
UGCAGUCGACGCUUUGUGGUCCAACUGAUUUGAAGAGCUUGCUCAGAUAUGACGAUGGACAUUGCAAAGAGUGGCGAACGGGUGAGUAACACGUGGGAAACCUACCUCUUAGCAGGGGAUAACACUUGGAAACAAGUGCUAAUACCGUAUAACACUAAUAACCGCAUGGUUAUUAGUUAAAAGAUGGUCUUGCUAUCACUAAGAGAUGGUCCCGCGGUGUAUUAGCUAGUUGGUAAGGUAAUGGCUUACCAAGGCAAUGAUACAUAGCCGAGUUGAGAGACUGAUCGGCCACAAUGGGACUGAGACACGGCCCAUACUCCUACGGGAGGCAGCAGUAGGGAAUCUUCCACAAUGGACGAAAGUCUGAUGGAGCAACGCCGCGUGUGUGAUGAAGGGUUUCGGCUCGUAAAACACUGUUGUAAGAGAAGAAUGACAUUGAGAGUAACUGUUCAGUGUGUGACGGUAUCUUACCAGAAAGGAACGGCUAAAUACGUGCCAGCAGCCGCGGUAAUACGUAUGUUCCAAGCGUUAUCCGGAUUUAUUGGGCGUAAAGCGAGCGCAGACGGUUAUUUAAGUCCGAAGUGAAAGCCCACAGCUUAACUGUGGAAGUGCUUUGGAAACUGGAUAACUUGAGUGCAGUAGAGGAGAGUGGAACUCCAUGUGUAGCGGUGAAAUGCGUAGAUAUAUGGAAGAACACCAGUGGCGAAGGCGGCUCUCUGGACUGUAACUGACGUUGAGGCUCGAAAGUGUGGGUAGCAAACAGGAUUAGAUACCCUGGUAGUCCACACCGUAAACGAUGA